rnacentral:rRNA from 1 species
AUGGAUCUUGGUCAUGAACUUCUGAUUUUCAUAGACAAUGUCCGAGCGGACCAAAGAUUUGCCAAUUUGGAUGGCAUUGCCGAUCUUGCUAAAGAGUUGGUGGAAACUAAAAAGCAUCUUGAUUUUCCUUUGGUGUAUCAACUUCUCAAGUUGGUGCUAAUUCUGCCAGUUGCCGCAGCGUCCGUGGAGAGAUGAUUUUCAGCAAUGAAUAUUGUCAAGAGUGUUUUGCGGAACAAAAUGGGUGACGAGUUCAUGAGUGAUUGCUUGAUUUGCUAUGUGGAGAAAGACAUAUUUUCUACAAUAACGAAUGAUGAUGUGAUUGAUCUAUUUAAGAAGAUGAAAGAUCGAGAAGGGAAUUAUGAAAUGUGA